UACAGAGGGUGCGAGCGUUAAUCGGAAUUACUGGGCGUAAAGGGCGCGUAGGUGGUUUAUUAAGAUUGAUGUGAAAUCCCUGGGCUUAACCUAGGAACUGCAUCGAUGACUGAUAAGCUUGAGUACUGUAGAGGGUAGUGGAAUUUCCGGUGUAGCGGUGAAAUGCGUAGAGAUCGGAAGGAACACCAGUGGCGAAGGCGGCUACCUGGACAGAUACUGACACUGAGGCGCGAGAGCGUGGGGAGCAAACAGG
rnacentral:rRNA from 1 species